CUCCUACGGGAGGCAGCAGUGGGGAAUCUUGGACAAUGGGGGRRRMCCUGAUCCAGCGAUACCGCGUGUGUGAAGAAGGCCUUCGGGUUGUAAAGCACUUUAGGUGGGGAAGAAAAGUAACCGAGGAAUAUUCGGUUACUUUGACGGUACCCGCAGAAUAAGCACCGGCUAACUCUGUGCCAGCAGCCGCGGUAAUAC
rnacentral:rRNA from 1 species